UGGGGAAUAUUGCACAAUGGGCGCAAGCCUGAUGCAGCAACGCCGCGUGAACGAUGAAGGUCUUCGGAUCGUAAAGUUCUGUUGCAGGGGAAGAUAAUGACGGUACCCUGUGAGGAAGCCCCGGCUAACUACGUGCCAGCAGCCGCGGUAAUACGUAGGUGGCAAGCGUUGUCCGGAAUUAUUGGGCGUAAAGCGCGCGCAGGUGGUUUAGAAAGUCUGAUGUGAAAGCCCACGGCUCAACCGUGGAGGGUCAUUGGAAACUAAUAAACUUGAGUGCAGGAGAGAAAAGUGGUAUUCCUACUGUAGCGGUGACAUGCGUACAGAUUAGGAGGAACGCCGGUGGCGAAAGCGGCUUUUUAGCCUGCAACUGACACUGAGGCGCGAAAGCGUGGGGAGCAAACAGG
rnacentral:rRNA from 1 species